UUUUUUUUCUGUCGCAAUCUUCAUGCUGAAUAAGGUGUUUUUUUUUCUUUUACUUUUUACACAAUCAUUGUACUAUUGUGUUCUUAAAUGAUGCUUUGAAUAUCGUGAAUUUCCUUGUAUUAGUGAACAUUUCAAUAACUAAGUAUAUUUUUUAUUACCAUAGAUAGUUUCGCAAUGGAUGAAAAACCAAGCUUACAUGCAUGUAUAUUAAAAUUUUGAUUGAAAUCAAUGUGCCAUUGUUGUAAAACGUACGCAUUAUUGAAACAACAUAAUAAAUUAUUAUG
rnacentral:sRNA from 1 species